ACGGGAGGCAGCAGUAAGGAAUAUUGGUCAAUGGAGGCAACUCUGAACCAGCCAUGCCGCGUGCAGGAAGACUGCCCUAUGGGUUGUAAACUGCUUUUAUCCGGGAAUAAACCUACUUACGUGUAAGUAGCUGAAUGUACCGGAAGAAUAAGGAUCGGCUAACUCCGUGCCAGCAGCCGCGGUAAUACGGAGGAUCCAAGCGUUAUCCGGAUUUAUUGGGUUUAAAGGGUGCGUAGGCGGCCUGUUAAGUCAGGGGUGAAAGACGGUAGCUCAACUAUCGCAGUGCCCUUGAUACUGAUGGGCUUGAAUGGACUAGAGGUAGGCGGAAUGAGACAAGUAGCGGUGAAAUGCAUAGAUAUGUCUCAGAACACCGAUUGCGAAGGCAGCUUACUAUGGUCCUAUUGACGCUGAGGCAC
rnacentral:rRNA from 1 species